rnacentral:rRNA from 1 species
UAGAUUGACGCUGGCGGCAGGCUUAACACAUGCAAGUCGAGCGGUAACAGAUCCAGCUUGCUGGAUGCUGACGAGCGGCGGACGGGUGAGUAAUGCAUAGGAAACUGCCCAAUAGUGGGGGAUAGCCCGGGGAAACCCGGAUUAAUACCGCAUACGUCCUACGGGAGAAAGCAGGGGCUCUUCGGACCUUGCGCUAUUGGAUGUGCCUAUGUCGGAUUAGCUAGUUGGUGGGGUAAAGGCCUACCAAGGCGACGAUCCGUAGCUGGUCUGAGAGGAUGAUCAGCCACAUCGGGACUGAGACACGGCCCGAACUCCUACGGGAGGCAGCAGUGGGGAAUAUUGGACAAUGGGGGCAACCCUGAUCCAGCCAUGCCGCGUGUGUGAAGAAGGCUUUCGGGUUGUAAAGCACUUUCAGUGAGGAGGAAAACCUUAUGGUUAAUACCCAUGAGGCUUGACGUUACUCACAGAAGAAGCACCGGCUAACUCCGUGCCAGCAGCCGCGGUAAUAC